rnacentral:rRNA from 1 species
CCUACGGUAGGCUGCAGUGGGGAAUAUUGCACAAUGGGGGAAACCCUGAUGCAGCGACGCCGCGUGAGCGAAGAAGUAUUUCGGUAUGUAAAGCUCUAUCAGCAGGAACGAGACAAGACGGUACCUGACUAAGAAGCCCCGGCUAACUACGUGCCAGCAGCCGCGGUAAUACGUAGGGGGCAAGCGUUAUCCGGAAUCACUGGGUGUAAAGGGAGCGUAGACGGCUGAGCAAGCCUGAAGUGAAAGGCGGGGGCCCAACCCCCGGACUGCUUUGGGAACUGUACGGCUGGAGUGCAGGAGAGGUAAGUGGAAUUCCUAGUGUAGCGGUGAAAUGCGUAGAUAUUAGGAGGAACACCAGUGGCGAAGGCGGCUUACUGGACUGUAACUGACGUUGAGGCUCGAAAGCGUGGGGAGCAAACAGGAUUAGAUACCCCAGUAGUC